rnacentral:tRNA from 1 species
GGUUAUAGCUCAAUGGUAGAGUGCUUACCUAACACGUGUGAGGCACUGAGUUCGAUCCUCAGCACCA